GUGUGUAUAGAGUUAUUAGACAGUGUGUGUGUGUGUGUAUAGAGCUAUUAGACAGUGUGUGUGUGUAUAGAGCUAUUAGACAGUGUGUGUGUGUGUAUAGAGCUAUUAGACAGUGUGUGUGUAUAGAGCUAUUAGACAGUGUGUGUGUGUAUAGAGCUAUUAGACAGUGUGUGUGUAUAGAGCUAUUAGUGUGUGUGUAUAGAGCUAUUAGACAGUGUGUGUGUAUAGAGCUAUUAGACAGUGUGUGUGUAUAGAGCUAUUAGUGUGUGUGUAUAGAGCUAUUAGACAGUGUGUGUGUAUAGAGCUAUUAGACAGUGUGUG